AGGAUAUUUAAAUUUUAAUUUGCAAUUAAAUUUAAUUGAAUUUUUUAACUUCAAUAUAUCUUA
rnacentral:tRNA from 1 species